UACGGAGGGUGCAAGCGUUAAUCGGAUUUAUUGGGCGUAAAGGACGCGUAGGCGGGACUGAAAGUCAGUUGUGAAAUCCCGGGGCUCAACCCCGGAAUGGCAGCUGAAACUCCAGUUCUUGAGGAUAGGCGGAGAAAACGGAAUUCCACAAGUAGCGGUGAAAUGCGCAGAUAUGUGGAGGAACACCGGUGGCGAAAGCGGUUUUCUAGCUUAUUCCUGACGCUGAGGCGUGAAAGCAAGGGGAGCAAACAGG
rnacentral:rRNA from 1 species